UGGGGAAUCUUGCACAAUGGGGGAAACCCUGAUGCAGCGACGCCGCGUGAACGAUGAAGCCCUUCGGGGUGUAAAGUUCUUUCGACAGGAACGAUAAUGACGGUACCUGGAGAAGAAGCUGCGGCUAACUACGUGCCAGCAGCCGCGGUAAUACGUAGGCAGCGAGCGUUGUUCGGAGUUACUGGGCGUAAAGAGUGCGUAGGCGGCGAGCCAAGUUUGGUGUGAAAUCUCCCGGCUUAACCGGGAGGGUGCGACGAAAACUGGGUGGCUGGAGUAUGGGGGAGGAAAGCGGAAUUCCUGGUGUAGCGGUGAAAUGCGUAGAUAUCAGGAGGAACACCUGCGGUGUAGACAGCUUUCUGGACCAAAACUGACGCUGAGGCACGAAAGCGUGGGUAGCAAACA
rnacentral:rRNA from 1 species